AUAUAUAUAUAUAUAUAUAUAUAUAUAUAUAUAUAUAUAUACAUUCAAAUAUAAUAUCUUCCACGUAAUGCUUAUGAGGAGAAAUCGAUUUCGAUAAAACUGGAUCAGGAAAAAAAAAAACAAUAUAAUAAUAAUAAUGAAAAUUCAAAUAAAACAAUAUCAAGGCUGGUUAAAUAAUUGUUAGUCUUUUUAAAUACAAAAUUACAUCCAUCGUAACUCUCAUAUUGGUCACGGUCUUAGCUAAAGGAUGAAUAAAUUAAGAAUACAAUAAUAAACCAGAAUAAAUGAAGAAAUGAAUAAAUUUACAGAAUAUUGCGUCCCUGGCCGGACGAAAAAUAAAAUGUGUUUCAUUAUCUUUAUCACGUGGAAAAACUGCGCUCAAUUAUUGCUAAGAAUUACACCCCUUUAUAUACUUAAAAAUACUUUCUUGCCCGAUGGAAAAAAAAAAAAAAGAAAAAAAGAGAGAAAAAAAAAACCCAAUUAAUUACGCGAGAACAAUUCGGUUGCAAUUUUUAAAUUCUAAAACACAAGAAAAAGAUUUGUUCGUUCCUUUUUUUGCAAAAAACGAUAUCGUACUAACGUCGACGUAUACAUAUAUUGAUACGAGUUUAUUAAAAAGGAAAGUUAAAUAACCGAUGGGUAAAAAAGCGAAUCAAUAGGCCAGUUGGAAGAAGAAAGGCACGCAGCUUGAUCGCAUAAGAUUUUUUUCUAAUUUAAAACAGUAUAAAGUACGUUUUUGAAAACUCAAUUCGCAAUGCGAAGCUGUACUCUUAACAAAGCAACAGCAUGAGACUCGAUGAUUAUCACAAAAAUGCAAUUCAGCUGCGUACAUUCUCUUAAAAGUAGUUACUUUGAAACGAU